rnacentral:rRNA from 1 species
ACGGGGCCCGCACAAGCGGUGGAGCAUUGUUAGGUUUAAUUCGAUGCAACGCGAAGAACCUUUACCUGGUCUUGACAUCCACGGAAGUUUUCAGAGAUGAGAAUGUGCCUUCGGGAACCGUGAGACAGGUGCUGCAUGGCUGUCGUCAGCUCGUGUUGUGAAAUGUUGGGUUAAGUCCCGCAACGAGCGCAACCCUUAUCCUUUGUUGCCAGCGGUCCGGCCGGGAACUCAAAGGAGACUGCCAGUGAUAAACUGGAGGAAGGUGGGAUGACGUCAAGUCAUCAUGGCCCUUACGACCAGGGCUACACACGUGCUACAAUGGCGCAUACAAAGAGAAGCGACCUCGCGAGAGCAAGCGGACCUCAUAAAGUGCGUCGUAGUCCGGAUUGGAGUCUGCAACUCGACUCCAUGAAGUCGGAAUCGCUAGUAAUCGUGGAUCAGAAUGCCACGGUGAAUACGUUCCCGGGCCUU